rnacentral:rRNA from 1 species
UAAGCCUGUGAAGGUGUGUCGUGAGGCAUGCUGGAGGUAUCAGAAGUGCGAAUGCUGACAUAAGUAACGAUAAAGCGGGUGAAAAGCCCGCUCGCCGGAAGACCAAGGGUUCCUGUCCAACGUUAAUCGGGGCAGGGUGAGUCGACCCCUAAGGCGAGGCCGAAAGGCGUAGUCGAUGGGAAACGGGUUAAUAUUCCCGUACUUGGUGUUACUGCGAAGGGGGGACGGAGAAGGCUAUGUUGGCCGGGCGACGGUUGUCCCGGUUUAAGCGUGUAGGUGUGUGUUCCAGGUAAAUCCGGUUCACUUUAACACUGAGGCGUGAUGACGAGGCACUACGGUGCUGAAGCAACAAAUGCCCUGCUUCCAGGAAAAGCCUCUAAGCAUCAGGUAACAUCAAAUCGUACCCCAAACCGACACAGGUGGUCAGGUAGAGAAUACCAAGGCGCUUGAGAGAACUCGGGUGAAGGAACUAGGCAAAAUGGUGCCGUAACUUCGGGAGAAGGCACGCUGACACGUAGGUGAAGUGAUUUACUCAUGGAGCUGAAGUCAGUCGAAGAUACCAGCUGGCUGCAACUGUUUAUUAAAAACACAGCACUGUGCAAACACGAAAGUGGACGUAUACGGUGUGACGCCUGCCCGGUGCCGGAAGGUUAAUUGAUGGGGUCAGCGCAAGCGAAGCUCCUGAUCGAAGCCCCGGUAAACGGCGGCCGUAACUAUAACGGUCCUAAGGUAGCGAAAUUCCUUGUCGGGUAAGUUCCGACCUGCACGAAUGGCGUAAUGAUGGCCAGGCUGUCUCCACCCGAGACUCAGUGAAAUUGAACUCGCUGUGAAGAUGCAGUGUACCCGCGGCAAGACGGAAAGACCCCGUGAACCUUUACUAUAGCUUGACACUGAACAUUGAGCCUUGAUGUGUAGGAUAGGUGGGAGGCUUUGAAGCGUGGACGCCAGUCUGCGUGGAGCCGACCUUGAAAUACCACCCUUUAAUGUUUGAUGUUCUAACGUGGACCCGUGAUCCGGGUUGCGGACAGUGUCUGGUGGGUAGUUUGACUGGGGCGGUCUCCUCCUAAAGAGUAACGGAGGAGCACGAAGGUUGGCUAAUCCUGGUCGGACAUCAGGAGGUUAGUGCAAUGGCAUAAGCCAGCUUGACUGCGAGCGUGACGGCGCGAGCAGGUGCGAAAGCAGGUCAUAGUGAUCCGGUGGUUCUGAAUGGAAGGGCCAUCGCUCAACGGAUAAAAGGUACUCCGGGGAUAACAGGCUGAUACCGCCCAAGAGUUCAUAUCGACGGCGGUGUUUGGCACCUCGAUGUCGGCUCAUCACAUCCUGGGGCUGAAGUAGGUCCCAAGGGUAUGGCUGUUCGCCAUUUAAAGUGGUACGCGAGCUGGGUUUAGAACGUCGUGAGACAGUUCGGUCCCUAUCUGCCGUGGGCGCUGGAGAACUGAGGGGGGCUGCUCCUAGUACGAGAGGACCGGAGUGGACGCAUCACUGGUGUUCGGGUUGUCAUGCCAAUGGCACUGCCCGGUAGCUAAAUGCGGAAGAGAUAAGUGCUGAAAGCA